rnacentral:rRNA from 1 species
CCUACGGGAGGCAGCAGUGGGGAAUUUUGGACAAUGGGCGAAAGCCUGAUCCAGCAAUGCCGCGUGAGUGAAGAAGGCCUUCGGGUUGUAAAGCUCUUUUGUCAGGGAAGAAACGGUGAGGGCUAAUAUCCCUUGCUAAUGACGGUACCUGAAGAAUAAGCACCGGCUAACUACGUGCCAGCAGCCGCGGUAAUACGUAGGGUGCAAGCGUUAAUCGGAAUUACUGGGCGUAAAGCGUGCGCAGGCGGUUUUGUAAGUCUGUCGUGAAAUCCCCGGGCUCAACCUGGGAAUUGCGAUGGAGACUGCAAGGCUAGAAUCUGGCAGAGGGGGGUAGAAUUCCACGUGUAGCAGUGAAAUGCGUAGAGAUGUGGAGGAACACCGAUGGCGAAGGCAGCCCCCUGGGUCAAGAUUGACGCUCAUGCACGAAAGCGUGGGGAGCAAACAGGAUUAGAUACCCUGGUAGUCCACGCCCUAAACGAUGUCUACUAGUUGUCGGGUUUUAAUUAACUUGGUAACGCAGCUAACGCGUGAAGUAGACCGCCUGGGGAGUACGGUCGCAAGAUUAAAAACUCAAAAGGAAUUGACGG